UGAUUCUCCAUGAUGGAGCCAAAGUAAGCCUGAUUUUUAAACUCUGUUACUAACUGUUGCCUCCUACUGUCAUGAUCUGGCUGUGCCACGCUAUCAGUUCCCAAUGUUUUCUACUGUAUAUUUUCCCCUCCUUUUGUUUCUGUCUGUCUCCUGUCUGUCUCCAGCGUGUGUGUGUCUGGGAGUAGUGCUUCACUCUCCUUGCAGGUCCAAUCAGCAAACCACCUGUGGCUACACACCUGAGAGUCAUCCCACUUUAUGCCUGCAGUUCAUAAACCCUGGCUCUGCACUUCAUUCUCUGGCAGAUUAUCCUUUCACUUCCCGUGGUUUUUGGGUCAUGGAGUUCUGUUUUUCCAAUGUAGCUUGGUUUUCGCCCUAUCUCCACCUGCCUGCCCAGCUUGAGCUACCUCUCACAGAGCUUCCCCAUCUGUAGAUUCCCAUUGCACAUUAUUUGUACAUUUGUCAAUAAUAUACCCUUUUAUCACUGACAUCUGAGUCCACUCAGCUACCCAACCCUACUGACAAAAUGGUGGAGAACAGAAGCAUUUGGGGCUGUAUUGAUUUCCAGGGCAUAAGUACACCUUAUAAAAAGUGUUCUUAUUGGCUCUGCUGGGUGCCAUUUGUAUUUGCAAGGUGAUCUGUAAAUAGCUGCAUGUAACGGGUUACAUGGAAAACCAGUGUGUCCCUCUUUAUAACUCAUUACUACAACUCCAUAUUUCUCUACCGCUUCGCAUUGCACUCCUAUAUGUGAGAAUCCAAUCAAAUUUUAAGGGUUGAAGAGCAGUAAAUGUUAAAUGUGUUAAAGGAUGUGCAUGAAAUCUGAUAAACUGCCUCAAGCGAUGUCACCUGGCCCAACCGUGAUAAACUCUGAUUGGUACACGGAAGUAUGUGACAUAACCUUUUCUUAACUAAGCUCUGCCCUCUAUAAACCAGUGAAACACAAGAACAAGAACACAAAUGGAAAAAUCUCAACUUAAAUAACCAAAACUGUUUGGAGUAGAGCAAAACAAUAUUGUGCUCCAUGUAUGAUUGAGAUUGAUUUUAAGAAACUGAUUGAGAAAAUACAUUUUCGGGGCCUUUAAAUAAAAGGUAAUGGGUAAGGUUUCUUUUGUUGGAAAAACUGAUGCAAUAGAAACACUAAGUUUUGUUUAUCUGUACUUGCCCCGAUGAGCAAUUAGUUUCACAGCUAGUAUUAAAAGCAACCUUACUCACAGGCACAGGAAACAACAGAUACUCGGCUGCCAAUGCUAGGUGUUAAUGCUUUGUUUCACAAUGGAG